AUUAUGAUAGUGAAGCUGUUUGUUAUACAGGAAAAUUUCAUAUCUGGUAGUUGACCAUGCAAUGUGAAGAUACUUAGAAGAAUGGAAGCACUGUGACGAUUGCUAGUAAUGCAGUCUUCGGACAUCCUGACCCCAUGAGCCCUGAUUGCUGAAUAACUCAUAUAAGAAAACUGUAUGGUCAAAGCAAAUCAUGCAGAAUCAAUAUAUUAUGUUAUGACCUCUUUGCCACUUGAAUGAAAUUGCUGACUUUAUGUUUUCGAUUUUUGCUUCCACUUCAAUGUAACUACUAAAUAAACAUGCAAUUACAAGAUUAUCAUUAUAUUUACAUUGUGUGGGAAAGUGUAAAGGUUUCUCAAAAUGUUUUUAAACUGCAACCGGCGAUCUAUCAAUAUUUGAUACAUUAUAUUGAACAUAAA
rnacentral:lncRNA from 1 species